rnacentral:lncRNA from 1 species
GAAGAAUGACAGAGAUCCCCAGCUGGGGUUGCAGCCAUUUAAGAAACUGUAGCACUCUUGCUUUUGUGCCCUCCCCAGCCCCACCCCGCCAGGGAGCGCUUCACCAUUACCAAAGUGAGAAAAAAGGCUGCGUGAGUCACCUUGACAAAUGGGGAGCAUGACUGGGAGGUGAGGGCUGCUAACAUUUCUCUUUGUUCCACUCCCGGAAGCAUCCUGUCUGUCCUGAUCUACCAGUAAACUAGGAUCAGACAGUGAGACUUCUGCUGUCUAUGAAUAUACUGAACAUUUAACAGGAGUCAGCUGCUGAGUGCUUUCAUAGAUUCUUACUUCAUACUCACAAUGGCCCAUGAGCUAGUUACUGUCAUCUGUGUUUUCGAAUUGAGAAAACUGAGGCUCAGAUGGCUGCAAGAACUUGCGCCAGGUCACCUGGCUUUUAAGAGGCCAAAACAGGACUGCAGUUAGGUGACCUGGUCCCUAACCUCUCUCCACUGCCUCAGUGACAGACGUGGAGAUGAGAUUCCACCUGUCUUCUUUUGCUGUGAUGUUGCCUGUGUCUUCCAAUGAAUGUAAAAUGUCACCUGCACUGUGGCUCAACUCUGCCCCUCAUAUUUAUCCAAAUCAGUAAAAUAAUAGGAGGGAUCCAAAUUGACAUCUUACAAGCAAGAAAAUUCAGAGAAAUUAAGCAACUGGGCAAAGUAGUGGGAAGGCGGCGGGGGAACUAGAACCCAGGUCUCUGUUACUUACUAGGGUCGUUCUCAAACUUGCCACAGACUCUGCCGUGCUUCCUACUAUUAAUAAAUAUUUGAUGGGUUCCAGACGCUAGUUCUAGGAGCUUUUUCGUGUUUUAUUUCAUUUAGUAUCACCAUUUUGUAGACAGAGAAGCUUGAUGAACCUGUGUCCAAGGUCACUAGGAUGAUAACCAGUGGAGCUAAGCUUCAGACCCUGGUCUAGCUCCCUGCAACUUCCCAAAGGGGAACCAGCCCAUUCUCAGCGAUGAUUGUAAACAUUCAUCUCUGCAGAUGAGAUCCCUUAUUAGGUACUGCUAUUCCACAUAUGUAUAUUAUUACUGUUAUUUUUAAUAGAUUUACUAGAUUGUAAUGUUUGAUAAUUUUCACCCAAUGCUGGUGAAUGCAGAACACAGACAUUCUCACACACUAGUGGGUGAAAAUGUCAGUUGCUACAACCUCUUUGGAAGUGAGUUGACAGUGUCUAUUAAAACUGCACAAAGCAAACUGACUUAGUAGUUGCUUUUCCAGGAAUUUAUACUGUGCGUUUACAUGUAGCAACAACCAAAGCCCCAUGUACAAGGGAGUUCAUCGUGACAUUGUUCAUAAUAGCAAAAGCUAGAAACAACCAUAGUGCCAAGCAGUGAGGGACUGGGUACAUCAAGAGUGGUCCCUACAUACAAGGGAAUAGAACGUAGACCUUAAAAAGCAGGGGGCAAAUCUAUACAGACUGCUAGGGAGAAGUUUCCAAGAUGUGUUACUGAGUAGAAACUAUAAGUUCCUCAACAGUAUGAUUCAAUAUAUGUAAAGUCAAAGAUCAUAAAACAUUUCUAGAAAAUUCUACAAGAAAUUUAUUAUUAACAGUAAUAACCUCUUGGGGCACCUGGGUGGCUCAGUCGGUUAGGCAUCCGACUUUGGCUCAGGUCAUGAUCUCAUUGUUUGUAGGUUUGAGCCCCAAAUCGGCCUCUGUGCUGACAGCUCAGAGCCUGAAGCCUGCUUCAGAUUCUGUGUCUCCCUCUCUCUCUGCUCCUCCCCCUCUCAUGCUCUGUCUCUCAAAAAUGAAUAAACAUUCUAAAAUUAAAAAAAAAUAGUAAUAACCUCUAGAAAUUGGGAUGGGGCCAGAACUUUAUCCUUUUGUGAUUUUUUAUAUUGUUUGAAUAUUUGAAAUACGAUUUUAUUGACGUAUAUGUAUUGUUUGAAACUUUUUUACUAUGAACAUGUGCUUUUUUAAUUAGCUAACUACAAAACUUAAUUAUUUCUUCAACUAGUAAUUCUUAAUACUUAGCACAUUAAUAGGAUAUUUAUUUUUAAAGCAAAAAUCCAUCUGAAAGAAUGAAGAAACACAUUGGACAAAGUAUUGUCCAGAGUAGCCUUUUGACAUCCUAACAACCCAGUAGAGAUAGUUGAAUAAUUAACUUAUUAAGUUGUCAGCAGUCAUGUUGCUACAGUUAGACAGUUUACUAGUUUGACAAUGAUGGAUAAACAUUAAUCAACCUAUCAACGUGAGUCACAACAUAGUAACUGUUAUCUGGGGCUUAAUGAUAACAGUUACCGCUUUUUUUGAAUAUUACUCUAUGCCAAGCUGUCUUAAGUACAUACUGUUUCUCAUUUAAUUCCUUACAAUCACCAGGUGGUUGUUUUUGUGCCCAUUUUACAGAUUAAAAAACCGAGGCUCAAAGAAGUUCAGCCACCUGACCAGCUAUUAAGUGGUGGUGCUGUAGAUCGAACCCCAGUCUUCAUCACCCCUGGGAUCGGACUUUUAACCACUCUGUGUGGUGGCAUGGUGCAUCUUGGUAUUAUGGGCUUUUGAGACCAGAAGUUUCUCUGCUAAAUCCUGGCUGGAUAUCUCUGAUAUCUGUCUCCAAUCUCUCUCUCUUUCAUCUCCCAUCUCUCCACAUGACCUGGAUUCUCU